rnacentral:lncRNA from 1 species
CCGAACUCAUUUUUGUUUUCAUUUUCAGAACAAGUGUAACGAGAGUCAAAAAGACGUCUCCAAAUACAAGAAGAAGUUCAAUGCUAUGAAAUCAUAUAUGAAGAAACUGAAUAAGACUUUGAAGACUUCUGGACUCGACAUGACGCAGAUGGCUUCUACUUCAAAGUCCACAAUACCGUCUGCAUUCGGAUCAGAUAUUUCUGAUUCUGAUUCAGAAGACUCGCUUUCAGACGAGUGUUGAUUAAAAGAUAUUUUUUUCCUUAUUCAAACUUCGAAUGUUUAACGAUUCUGUAAUUUAAUUUCUUUUUAAUAAAAAACAUCGAUUUCAAUUUCAAAAUCGUUUUCUCAAAUCAAAUAUCGAUUUCUAUUUCAAAAAACAACGAUUCGAACGCAAAAUAUAGAAUCCUGUUCUAAAAAAAAAUUGUAACAAACAUUGUAUGGCGGAUUUCCGCCAUCUAAACUCUUCCACUUAGUUUUAGAUGGCGGAUUUCCGCCAUCUAAAUAUGGGCACAAUCGCCCUCUCCUACGAAUAGAUGGCGGAUAUCCGCCAUCUAUAAUCUAAAGGAACCGCCUUUUGUACUUUAGAUGGCGGAUUUCCGCCAUCUAAUGUUCCAAGAAUAGUCGGCGGACAUCCGCCAUUAAUGAAAUUAACCGCCAUCAAUGAAUUGGCGCCAAACUAUUCCCUCGCCAUAUUUUAGAUGGCGGAUUUCCGCCAUCUAAAACUUUUCAGUUCGCGCGGAUUUCCGCCAUCUAUACAAUUUUUGGUGGGAAAUGGGGAUGGAUAAUAGAUGGCGGUCUUUAGAUGGCGGUUUAGGGGUUUUAAUGGCGGUGUCCAAGAUGGCGGUCUUUAGAUGGCGGAUUUCCGCCGAGGAUCACUUUAGAUGGUGGAAAUCCGCCAUCUAAAGACCGCCAUACAAGGUCUUAUUUCUUGUAGUGAUAAUGGUUGUAGGUUCAAUUUGAUUUCCAGCCAUAGGAUAGAGGUUGCACUGUAUGAUUUUGAGAAGGAUUGUAACUUCGAGAGUUAGUAUGGAUCUGUGUAUGUUUCCACAGUUACUCGGAUUGAAUCUGAGUGUUAAUGUGAUCUAUAGCAACUCCUUGGAGCAUUCGAAUGGAAGACUUUCAACAGUCUUAAAAUCUUGUAACUUGAUACCUAUAUUUGGAAGUCGAGUCCACAUGCUGAGGGAUACGGAUGAUAUGAUAACAAACUCGUUGUUUAUCAUGCUAGUGAUGACUUGAGAUCCCUCCUUGUUGUAUUCGAAGUUGACAUAGAAUUGGGCUAGCUCCGACUUGUAGAUCCUCACUUGAUUGAUCUUCUCAAGAUAAGUGGUGAGGUCAUUGUAGCUUAACCAUCCUUCCAAGACUUUGCAUUUGAGUGCUCCAAAGUUGACCGGUUCUUCAAAGAGCAUGUGUUGGUCGAGAAUGAGGUUGUAGAAACCUUCUCCACCUGGAGUUCCCCGUGUUAGCUUCCCUUUGAAUGUCUCUUGAUGAGGGAUAUGCUUUUCCUUCCUCUUCUUGGGUUGAGGAUGAUAGAUAGGGCUUGGUGGUGGAGUUAGACCUAUCACUGUUUUCCAUUCACGGUCGAGAACCUCUUCAAUGAUCAUCGUGAAGAAGAAGGGUUUUAUGGAGUGAAUGAGUUUCUGAUUUUUGAGAGCGAGUGAUUCUCCUAUUUAUAGAUAAAGCUUGAGCUUUAUGAGUUUAGGGUUUUAAACAUAUCUCUACUUUAGCUGCCAAGGAUUUCU